rnacentral:lncRNA from 1 species
CUCCAUGCCAUGUCCAUCCAACGCCGCUCUGCUUCGUGCUUCUCCCGAGCGCCCUGCUCGCCGGCUCCACCAACCUCCCGCCCAGGCCUCUCCAUGUCAUCGCCAGCCACCCUCCCUGUGCAGUGUCGACCUGCUGGUCGCGGUGCUGCUUUGCAUCCUUUAUGAUGGUGCAUCUGGAACAUAUGCAGAAUGAGGCAUCCAUGGUCAAGCUUCGAUAGACUUGCUAAAGUUAAAGCUCAUGAUGAACUUAUGCAGACAAUGUCUCUGAUGUUCAAGAGAGAACUCUGUAAAUGAGGACAAUGUCGCGAGCUGCAAAUCUGUAAAUGAUGUUGAAGAGAGAGCUAUAAAUGUCUCUUCAACAACGGACGUGCAGCCUGUAGGUAAUUGGUCUUGUGUCUUCUUGUGCCUAAGUUGAAGAGAGAGCUACAAUAAAAAGAGUCUAAGCGAUCAAGGUCCUACUAAUCAAUUAAGUUGGCCGUUUGCUUGCUUCUUGUGCCUACAACAUGCUCGCUGGAUUGUUUUGUCGUAGUAUGAAAGCUUGUAAGCGCCAGAUUGAGGUCCUACUAAUAAAUUAAGGUGGCUGCUUGCUUGCUUUUUUUUCCUCAGUAUUGCAAGCUUUACUGUGAAUUAAAAGGAAUUGAGUUCCUCUGAGCACAGUUUAAUUAUUGGUGAGCAUUCAGGUGAGUGAUCAGCUUAUGCUCCACCGAUGCAGGCAUCCAGAGGUUCGACUGCGUUGGCAGGAGCUCGGUUGGUUUACUUAUAUGCUUUUUUUCUGCAACAUUGGGUUAUUUGGGUAGUUCAUGCAUGUUCGUCCUCUUUAUAUGGUUUUUCUCAUAAUGCGCGCCCCGAAGAUAGGUUCUUUUAGUUGCUACAGAUUUUAGUUUUUUCUGCUUACUGUCAUGUCCACUUUCUUAUCUGAUUAAGCAACUAAUAUAUGAAUAUCUGUGCAAAGUUCUACCAUUUUUGCACUCACUUAUGGGGCCAUCUAUGUAGAGUUUGUUCUGCUAUUCUCCAACUUAAAUCAAGAAUGCAGUCUCAUGUCAUUGUCUUUGCUAAUACAGUAUGUAAUGCAAUCCAAUUGUAGUGUCAUGUUCCAGCUCCUUUUAUUUUCAUCGUGAUGUGCAAGGUUGUUCAUGUGCUCUUCUUGCCAUGCACUAAUCAAAGUGUACAUGUAGAUGCUAAAAAUUGCUUAUCAUCAAAUUACUUGACUUAUGUACUGCUUGGACUUGUUUAAUUAAAGAGAUGUCUCUUUAAAUUGACUAUAUUUACUUGUCACACAUCAUUUGGGUCUUUUGCAUUGCCAAGAGUUGUACCUGAAACUUCAUACAUUGUAUAAUUUCUUGUUAUCCUUCUGUGCAUGGAGUCAUCUUCUGGGUAGUACAAUCCAGGUCGACCAUGCUGAGAUAAUCAUCAUUUUAAUUAUGACAGAUUACCAAGUUUAAUAUUUCAGUUCUCCGAAACAUAAUCUGAUUAUGACAGCUUAUCAAAUUUAAUAUUCUACACAUGGUGAACUUCAUCAAAUUAGGAUACCUACUUGUUUUAUCAUUCUAUCAGCAACCUAAGCUGAUACUAUAAGAUAUUAAACCCAUUUGUAGUUCAGACCUUGCACGAUUCUGAUGGGGAAGAAAAAAGUGACUUGUCCCUAUGGGCUAUGGAGACAAUGGAUCUCCUCUGUAUCAAGGUGAUGUUGGUUCGACAAAUGGAUAUCUCUACCUUUUGUUUUGUGAAGAGUUGUGUCUGAAACCUGGUGAAACGACAGGAAAAUAGAAUGCAGGGUCUAUAAUGAAAAGAUGUUUUAUUUUGAGCACGAUGCAGAACUUGUUCUCAGUAUACUAUGCCAUUUUUCAUAUGUUGACAUGUGAUUCCAAAUAAGUUCUAUUGGUUUAGAAAUAUGUAAUCCUGCAAUAUUCCACAUUUUAAUUUUAAUUUUAAAUUUAAUAUAUAUUGUAUAUGAGCUUGUUUUAAAUUUUUUAUUUAAUAUAUGUUUACUUUUUUUAAGAUCAAUAUAAAAACCAUUGGCUUUGGAUGUUGCUUUGAAAAUGUCGAUUGACUAAGUUACUGACAUAACUAUGAUGUACUGAAACUAAUCGAGUUUUAUACUUUUAUAUAAGGAAAAUGAUUCCUUUCAGGCUGUCGACGGAAGCUUGCGCCAGUCGCCUGUGAAUCUUUCGAUCGCGUCUCAUCUACCAGUUCUCCCUAACGCACACAUCCAGGCGAUUCAAUCCCCUCCUUCAUCCUUACCUCAUGAGGAAACCGCCAGCCACUUGUUCUCUCCCGUUCCUCUCAUCUGCCAAGCUUCGUUUUGUCCCUCUCUCACAUCACCUUUUUUCUCCUUUUCAUCCAGCGUCACUGCUGGACGUAGUUGCGAGUAUGAAUGUGGGGGCAGGCGAUGAGUCGGCUGCAAGUGCGAGCGUGGUGUUGUGGCGACGGGCAGCAAGGACGAACGCGUGCACGAGCUGCGCUGCUGCAGGAGGCACUGCAGCGUGAUGCAACUGAGGAGCUACAACCACCAGUUAGUGAAGCUGCAACCGUCAUAUGGUGCCUACAUUCAGACGGCCGGCAACGACGGCUGCCGGCUGCGUGUGGAGACGAGCAUGGCGAGACGAAAAGCUGCAACAGGCAAAGAUUUUUGUUGGAACCGGCGGCAUGUUUUGUUGGGACCGGCAGGGCGAUGUGCUACGACGGUGACGCAGGGGCGGAGACGGUGUGUUGGGACCGGGAAGACGAAUAGCUGCAACCGACAAUGAUCAACCAGUUACAUGUUUGGAGAAGGUUUAUAAAAUCUCUACUUCUUCAUGUUGCAUCAAGGCAUUGAUAUUGGUCUAGAAUGCAUAUGUUUUAUAAUAAAAAGACAAACCUCAUGCAUUUGUUUUUAUUGCAACUUUUUUUGUAGUCAUCAAUAGUCAUAUGCCAAGUACUGUUUGAUCAUUUUUAGGGUAUUGUCAUUCUUUUUACAGACCACUUGCGUUGGGCAAGAGGGUUCUGCUGUGGAGACCAAGAAAAAAGGAUGGCAACAUUGGGGACGCCUCAACUGCCGAUGAUGAACGCAGCUCGGAACAAGCAAAGCUCCACGCGAGGCUCCCCUUCUUAGACCAGUACUAAGGACUGCAGUUAUGUGGAUCCACUUUACCAGAAUGUCGAGCCCAUCAUAUCGUGUUCGACCCAUGAACCGGAAGGAUUGCUUGCCAUUAUGUGGUAUAGUUGUCCUUUGAGAUAUAUUAUUGUUUGUAUGAAUUAUGAGCUUCUCUGUGUCUAAAUUUACUCAAAUAGUCUUCUAGGAAUCUUGUUUUUGAUCCACUUUGGAGUCACAAUUUGUUGCUUGACACUUUGUUCUCUAACCCUCAAUUAAAGUUAUUACUAUAUUCAAGUGAUCGAAUAUUAGUCAGUGUAUUACAUUUUUUAUUUUCUUAUUUAUCUAAGUUGUGCCUUUUGGUAUUAUGUCAUCAUAGUGGAAUUUCAAAUAUGUUAGUGAUUACAUCUAAUAUUCCUGCACAUUUUACUGUUUCUCUUAUGUAUUUUUCACACAUAGUUUUUUUAUUUGGCGCAUCACCUGGCAAGUACCUAUCUCUACUACUAUUAUAAAGAGGAGUAUGUAGGUCGUUUCAUUUCCUCCCUUGUCCCUCACUGCUAGCCUGCCAUGGCAGCGUCCACUGAAGACAAAUGAAUUAAAUAAGUGACCAAGGGUAGAAUUAGCACUAAAUAGGAAGGCAAUUGCCGCCCUUGUCCCUCCCUGCCAUGGCAGCGUCGACCAAUGGCUUACUUAGAACACGAGUUUGUGGAUUUUAUGAUAAGAGUUAGUGUUGAGAGGAGCGAGACGGGGUUUGUCUGUUCGGCUGUGGUUGUUUGAGUGGAAUAAUUUCUCUACUUUAUAAAUUGCAUGAGCGAGCGGUUCAUAAUUAUUUUAUCAAGUCAUACAAUUUUUUGGUUAGGAUAGAAGGGUUAAUAAUGUACAUGUUGGGAUAUCAGUUGCAUGCAAAACAACAUAUAUCAUAUUUUGUUUCAUGGUAAUGUAUGCCAUUCAACUAAGUGUUAUAACGUGGCAAUGGCGGCGGAGACAUCGGAUCUUUCUUCUUGGCUUGGGGUGCGUCAUGGGCGGCGCACGCCUCGUCUCCCUUGAUGGCGGUGGCAGAUCGAAACACAGGGAGCAGAUCAGGGUGGAGAUUGGGGCGGUUGGCGUGGGACAUCUCCUUGACCUUCUGUGGGGGAAGUAGGUGUGAGGGAGGGCGCCAUGUCGAAGGUGAGGUGGGCAUCAUCCGGCUUUAAAAGAGAGGGCUCAAGUGAGACAUGUCUUCUAUAACAGAAAACCGAGCGACAAGGGGAGGGUGCGUCACUGGAUGGGGGUUUUGUGUUGGAACUGCAUGAGAAAACAUAGCAGAUAGUUCGGACAAUCACAUUUCUCCUCCAUAUAUUGGCUCGACUUGGGGAACUCGGACUGCCCAGACGGUUGGAGUUUUAGGAGCCUGUUGGGCGCCCGUUUGAUGUCCGAGCAAGCCCAGACAUACGAGGGAGAAAUGAGCUUCGACUUUGGAGACGACAUUAAUCUUUUGUUUAAUUCAUAUAUAUACAUGCAUUGUAGCCCGUAGUCCGUAGCAACGCACGGUCGAUGAUGCGGGGUGUUUGGAGUAAGUAUCAUGUAUCAAUAUUUAAUCUGGGAUGUACAUUCUUCUUCUUCUUACCAUCCAAUUGUUAGGAAGGAAUGGGUCUGUAGCUCGACACCUGAUCCAAUGGGCUUAAGUCUUAAGAAACUUCAGUGCAUACUUAACAUGGAGCAGCCUAUGAACAAUGAUUGAUUCAACACCGCCGUGCGUAUACUGGCAUGUGACGAGGGAGUAUUGUUCACGGACCCUCCUAUACACUACAUGGAUCUAAGAUUUUGUGUAAGUUAUCGUAACUCUUCAUUCUAUGUGGCAUUAGUAUCAGCAUGUUGAAGCAAUAUUUAUUUUGUUUACUUAGUCCAUGAUGCUAGAGACAACACGAGGUCAGAAGUUUUGCGAGAAGGAAACUAUAUAGACGUUGGCAACAUUAUUUGAUAGCUGGCCUGGGAUGGACAACAACAUCUCAUCGUGCAACAUGGUAAGUAAAGUAUUUUGUCUAUUGUUAUCAUGGUUUAUUGUUGUUUCUAAUAGCUCCACGUGUAGAUUUAUUUUCCCUAUGCAUCCAUUGGCCGAUACAUCGUGUACGUCAUCGACAAAGAGGCAUGUCGUCUAUAUAUUAUGGACCCUAUUCAAACAUCACAAUUGUCAGAGGAUAAAAAUUUGAGGCAUGCACUAAAAUUUAAAAGUUUUGCAAGGGAUUUCAAAGAAGCACUCGAAAUAAAGCUGUCUGGUUGGAAUUCUGAUAUAUCUAAAUGGCAAUGUUUAUUUCCGUUUGGUAUUCCAACGAGUGUAGACGGAUAAUGAAUUCAUAAUAAAACAUUUAUUUUUGUUAUCACUAUAUUCUUUAUAUUAUUAAUUUAAAAAAUUGCAGGAAUGUGUUUGGCUAUUUUGUUUUUUAUUUUAUGCUCUGGUGGAACGGUAAAGAAUUGGCCAAGCCGGUUUGCGCGGUGAGUAUUGUCUGUUGCAUGUUCUAAGACCUUCGGCGUGAAAUUUUCAUACUAACUACAUAUAUUGUUUGUGCAGGACGGGUAUGAGUAGAGGAAGCAGUUUUUAUUAUACUUGCUAAAACAUCGUGGGAAUUAAGCUAAAGGCAACUUUUCUGAUAUUGUGAAAGAAUAUCUUAAGCGUAUCAUCUAGAUAUUGAUAGUUUUGUUAUAGAUGUUAAGGUCGAACAUCGCUCAGUUUGUUACAUGGGCAUGUCAUUAUUUUUUCUUUUUAUUAUCAUUUUACAUUGCAAAAACGGAUGAAGUACUUAAAUAAUUGUGUUUGUGUUAUAUUUUUUGUACGUGUGAUAUUUAACAUGUAACUCGUGCAAACUAUUUUAAGAGCCCGUGGCAACGCACGGGCAAUCUACUAUAUUAUCUAGGAGUUUAGUAGCUUCUCCUAAAGUGAUUUCCAUAAAAGUGCCUCCCACGGCCGAAUCUAAAAGAUUUCUAGAAGCAAAAUUCAAUCCGGCAUAAAAGUUUUGUAUAAUCAUCCACAAAUUAAACCAUGAGUAGGGCAAUUACGUAUCAUUAAUUUCAUCCUCUCCCAAGCUUGUGCAACAUGUUCAUGAUCAAGUUGCUUAAAAUUCAUAAUAUCGUUUCUAAGAGAGAUGAUCUUAGCGGGAGGAAAAUACUUAGAGAUAAAAGCAUCUUUGCACUUAUUCCAUGAAUCAAUACUAUUUUUAGGCAAAGACGAAAACCAAGCUUUAGCACGAUCUCUAAGUGAAAAAGGAAAUAGCUUCAACUUAACAAUAUCAUUAUCAACAUCUUUCUUCUUUUGCAUAUCACACAAAUCAACGAAGCUAUUUAGAUGAGUAGCGGCAUCUUCACUAGGAAGGCCGGCGAAUUGAUCUUUCAUGACAAGAUUCAACAAAGCAGUAUUGAUUUCACAAGAUUCAGUAUCGGUAAGAGGAGCAAUCGGAGUGCUAAGAAAAUCAUUAUUGUUGGUAUUGGUAAAGUCACAUAAUUUGGUAUUAUCUUGAGCCACCGUGACAAACGAGCAAUCCAACACACGAGCAAACAAAAAGCAAGCAAAAAAAGGCGAACGAAAAAGAGAGGGCGAAUAAAACGACAAGGGUGAAGUGGGGGAGAGGAAAACGAGAGGAAAAUGGCAAAUAAUGUAAUGCGGGAGAUAAGGGUGUGUGAUGGGUACUUGGUAUGUUGACUUUUGCGUAGACCUCCCCGGCAACGGCGCCAGAAAUCCUUCUUGCUACCUCUUGAGCACUGCGUUGGUUUUCGCUUGAAGAGGAAAGGGUGAUGCAGCAAAGUAGCGUAAGUAUUUCCCUCAGUUUUGAGAACCAAGGUAUCAAUCCAGUAGGAGGCUACGCGCGAGUCCCUCGCACCUACACAAAACAAAUAAAUCCUCGCAACCAACGCGAUAAGGGGUUGUCAAUCCCUUCACGGUCACUUACGAGAGUGAGAUCUGAUAGAUAUGAUAGGAUACUAUUUUUGGUAUUUUUAUGAUAAAGAUGCAAAGUAAUAUAAAAGCAAAGUAAAAAGCAAAGGAAAUAACUAAGUGUUGGAAGAUUAAUAUGAUGAAGAUAGACCCGGGGGCCAUAGGUUUCACUAGUGGCUUCUCUCAAGAGCAUAAGUAUUUUACGGUGGGUGAACGAAUUACUGUUGAGCAAUUGACAGAAUUGAGCAUAGUUAUGAGAAUAUCUAGGUAUGAUCAUGUAUAUAGGCAUCACGUCCGAGACAAGUAGACCGACUCCUGCCUGCAUCUACUACUAUUACUCCACUCAUCGACCGCUAUCCAGCAUGCAUCUAGAGUAUUAAGUUCAUGAAAACAGAGUAACGCCUUAAGCAAGAUGACAUGAUGUAGAGGGAUAAAUUCAUGCAAUAUGAUCAAAAAAAACAUCUUGUUAUCCUCGAUGGCAACAAUACAAUACGUGUCUUGCUGCCCCUACUGUCACAGGGAAAGGACACCGCAAGAUUGAACCCAAAGCUAAGCACUUCUCCCAUUGCAAGAAAGAUCAAUCUAGUAGGCCAAACCUAACUGAUAAUUCGAAGAGACUUGCAAAGAUAACCAAUCAUACAUAAAAGAAUUCAGAGAAGAUUCAAAUAUUGUUCAUAGAUAAACUUGAUCAUAAACCCACAAUUCAUCGGUCUCAACAAACACACCGCAAAAGAAGAUUACAUCGAAUAGAUCUCCACGAGAGAGGGGGAGAACAUUGUAUUGAGAUCCAAAAAGAGAGAAGAAGCCAUCUAGCUACUAACUAUGGACCCGAAGGUCUGAAGUAAACUACUCACACUUCAUCGGAGAGGCUAUGGUGUUGAUGUAGAAGCCCUCCGUGAUCGAUGCCCCCUCCAGCGGAGCUCCGGAACAGGCCCCAAGAUGGGAUCUCGUGGGUACAGAAGGUUGCGGCGGUGGAAUUAGGUUUUUGGCUCCGUAUCUAAUCAUUUGGGGGUACGUAGGUAUAUAUAGGAGGAAGGAGUACGUCGGUGGAGCAACAGGGGGCCCACGAGGGUGGAGGGUGCGCCCCUACCUCGUGGCCUCCUUUUUUGUUUCUUGACGUAGGGUCCAAGUCUCCUGGAUCAUAUUCUUCCUAAAAAUCACGUUCCCGAAGGUUUCAUUCCGUUUGGACUCCGUUUGAUAUUCCUUUUAUGCGAAACUCUGAAAUAGGCAAAAAACAGCAAUUCUGGGCUGGGCCUCCGGUUAAUAGGUUAGUCCCAAAAAUAAUAUAAAAGUGAAUAAUAAAGCCCAAUAAUGUCCAAAACAGUAGAUAAUAUAGCAUGGAGCAAUCAAAAAUUAUAGAUACGUUGGAGACGUAUCAUGCAGCGUUUCCAGAUGGUGCUGGCGACCACCGGCGUCGUAGCCCUCGCCGACGCCGGCUUCGCCUCUCGCAUGGACGACAUGAUUGUCCGCUCCAUCCGCAAGUACACCCUCGUCAAGAAGCACGCGGACGACCUUGCCGUACUGCUCCAGCCCGUGCGCCCAGGCUCCUCAUUGCUUGCCACCCUCAUCGGCCUCCAUGGUGACGAACUCUUUCAAGCCCUGGUGGCCCUGCAGGUGCUGGAGGUCGCGACGAAGAAUGUGCACCUCGAGGCCGUGGUCGCCACGCAGCGCCUCGCCAUGCAAGAAACCGUCGACCUACACAUCCACGUCUAUGAGGAAAUCGUCUACAUAGGCCACUACAAGGCCAGCGAGGACAGAAAGACGUUGGCCUUCUUCCAGCAGCUGGAAUCUUUGAACGCCAUUGUUCAGAAGCACGUCGACCUGGCCACGAAAGCCGCUGCUACUUAGCCGCCGUCCGGUGGGUCGGUGCCCUGAGUCGAGGAGGUGGACAUCGUCGAUGGAUGCAUCUUUCUUCUUGCCUCCUAUAACCAGCAUUGCAUCGCCUCGUGGCCUUAAUGUUUUAUUAGUGUAUGGCAUUUUUAUUCCAGUCGUAACAUUUUCACUGUGAGGUGGGCCGCAGUUGAGCAAACCGACCAUCGGCAAAUCCCCACCCCGCCCACCGCGUGUCGGCUGAGUUUAGAAUUAGAAGAGAGAAACGAGGGAGAAGAGCUAGCUGUAGCACGGGCGCUGUUGUCAGAUGGGACUCGUGUUGAUAGAAUAGGAGUACUGAGCACUCAUACCUCUUUUUUUGAGGGAAAAGUAGUCGUACAUCUAGUACCACUAGUUGGGUGCGUGCGACCUGUACCUGUCAUCACUUUAGGACUCCUUUUCAAACCGCAACUACGCUUCAUAGUACAUAUUUUUUCACGCAUUUAUCCUCCUAUAUGUACUCCUAGGCUAUUUCCACGUGCUUCUUUUCGCCGACAUGUGGGACAUAGAGCAUCUGAGUCAUAGUGCAUGCACGACUCGGAGCAUAUGCAACCAUGCCAUCGUAAUUUACAUUUCAUACCUCACGAAUUACAUGCAAAACCCCCGCAGAAGAAUAAAUAAAUAAAUAAAUUACUACAUGAAACCGGAUUAUUUUCAUAGAAACCGGAGCACGUUCAUUAAAUUUUGGUCAUAACACAUUUAUAAAAAAUGACCGGACCUAAACCAGUCUAAGGGCCUCUUUGAUUCGCAUGAUACUGAAAACACAAGAAUGGGGAAAGUAUCACUACUGCAGGAUGCUGCUAACGCGACAUUACGAUUAGAGACCCUUCGACGAAACUAUGUGCGAUGCCAUAAUCGCAAACGGUGGUGUAAAAAACGUCAAAAAGGUGCAAAACGUUUGCGGACGGAUGCAUCAAACACGGUUCAGAUUUUAGUUGCGUGUGCGAAGCAGGGCAUACAGUUGAUCCAGACGAACUUUUUGCGAUUAGACAGAACAACAGAAAUGGGCAGCCAUAUCAAUGUGUGUGCGAUAUACGGCAUACAGUUCGCUCCGAUGAACUGUUUGCUAUUAGGGAAAGCAACAGAAACGGUCAGCCAGAUCAAGGUGUGUGUAAUAUACGGCAUACAUUUCAGUUGAAUGAACUGUUUUCGAUUAGGGAAGAGAACAUAAACGGUUCAACUUGACAAGAUGUGUGUGAUACGCGACAAAAAGGCCCGGAGGUUAAUGUAACGCCCGCGAUGCGGCUAUAUCUCCCACGUGUCGAGGCACGACUUAGAGGCAUAACCGCAUUGUAGGUAUUGUCGCAAGAAGGGUCAUCUUCACACAAUCCCAUGUAAUGAACAAGAAUGGGAUAAUGAGAGUUAGCUUACAAUCGCCACUUCACACAAUACAUAAAUUAAUUCAUACAUCAUUCAAAAUCCACACAUAGACCGACUACGGUCAAAUCCAAAUGAAAAUAAGAUAACCCCAAAUGCUAGAUCCCUGAUCGUCCCAACUGGGCUCUACUACUGAUCAUCAGGAAACGAAACAUAGUAACGACCACGUUCCUCGUCGAACUCCCACUUGAGCUCGAUUGCGUCGCCUGCACUGGUAUCGUCGGCACCUGCAACUGUGUUGGUAGAAUCUGUGAGUCACGAGGACUCAGCAAUCUCACACCCGCGAGAUCAAGACUAUUUAAGCUUAUAGGAAAGGAUGGGGUAAUGAGGUGGAGCUGCAGCAAGCACUAAGCAUAUAUGGUGGCUAACAUACGCAAAAGAGAGCGAGAAGAGAAGCAACGCAACGGUCGCGAAGCUAGAAAUGAUCAAGAAGUGAUCCUGAAACUACUUACGUUCAUACAUAACUCAAACCGUGUUCACUUCCUGGACUCCGCCGAAAAGAGACCAUCACGGCUACACACACGGUUUAUGUAUUUUAAUUAAGUCAAGUGUCAAGUUCUCUACAACCGGACAUUAACAAAUUCCCAUCUACCUCAUAACCGCGGGCACGGCUUUCGAAAGAUAAUACCCUGCAGGGGUGUCCCAACUUAGCCCAUUAUAAGCUCUCACGGUCAACGAAGGAUAAACCUUCUCCCGGGAAGACCCGAUCAGUCUCGGAAUCCCGGUUUACAAGACAUUUCGACAAUGGUAAAACAAGACCAGCAAAGCCGCCCGAAUGUGCCGACAAAUCCCGAUAGGAGCUGCACAUAUCUCGUUCUCAGGGCACACCGGAUUGUCCAAACUUCCGAUAGGCGAGCCCAGAGUUGCCCCUGGUGGCCACCGGCGGCUGACAGGUUGGACCAACACUCAGAGGAGCACUGGCCCGGGGGUUUAAAAUAAAGAUGACCCUCGGGCUCGCGAAAAACCGAGGGAAGAAGGCUUAGGUGGCAAAUGGUAAAACCAAGGUUGGGCCUUGCUGGAGGAGUUCUAUUCAAGGCGAACUGUCAAGGGGGUCCCACAAAUCACCCAACCGCGUAAGGAACGCAAACUCAAGGAACAUAAUACCGGUAUGACGGAAACUAGGGCGGCAAGAGUGGAACAAAACACCAGGCAUAAGGCCGAGCCUUCCACCCUUUACCAAAUAUAUAGAUGCAUUAAUUUAAUAAGAGAUAUUAUGAUAUUCCAAAAAUAUCCAUGUUCCAACAUGGAACCAACUUCAACUUCACCUGCAACUAGCAACGCUAUAAGAAGGGCUGAGCAAAAGCGGUAACUUAGCCAAACAACGAUUUGCUAGGAAAGGAUGGUUAGAGGCUUGACAUGGCAAUAUGGGAGGCAUGAUAUAGCAAGUGGUAGGUAGCGCAGCAUAGCAAUAGAGCGAACAACUAGCAAAGCAAAGAUAGAAGUGAUUUCGAGGGUAUGGUCAUCUUGCCUGCAAGGUUCUCAGAGUUGUCGAAAGCUUGAUCCUUGUAAACGUACUCAACAGGUUCCUCGUUCACGAACUCGUCUCCCGGAUCUACCCACAACAAGAACACAAGCAAUGGAACCACAAUCAAUCACGUGAAAUGCACAAGCAAAAUGAUGAACAAGGCAUCAACUUGGCAAACCAAGUAUGCCACUGGAAAGAUGAGAUGAUUUCGGUCAAAAUCAAUAUAAAGAUCACCGGAAACGGAUGCACGGUUUGCAAAUGGCAAGCAAAACAAGAAUGCCAUAAUUCUGCGAUUAACAGCAUGAUAGCACCUAGAAUACAUCAAGUAACUAUGCUACAGCACCCCAACAUAGCAACAAAGCAUAUGGCAGUGAUCUACAAGAGAUGCUUGACAAAAGAUGAACACUGAGCUAUGGCUAGAUCACACAAUAACAGGUUCAAAAAAGCAUGGCAAAAGUGCAAAAGAUAUCAGCUUCACAGACUUGGUGAAAAUACUGAACAUGGCUGAAACAGCAUCAGGUAGCAAUGUUCAGAGCAAGCCAAACACAUGCUACAGGAAAUUAACAUAGCAAAACAAUGCAUGGCAUGAAUCUACUAAAUUCAUAGAACAAAAGUCCCUUACUGAUCAUGAGCCAAAAAGGCACAGAAGUAUGAUGGCACCCAUGUAAACAUAGCAAGUUUCGUUAACAGGUUCCAGACUUGGCAGAAAACAGAGCAUGGCAUUAACAGAAUUAUGAAGGCAUCUUUGUAAGCUCGAUUCACUCAUCACAAAGCAAUGCAUGACAAAACAAGCAUACCUACAACAAGAUGGCAUGUUUAUGAAGCUAACCAUGGCAAGAGAAAGUAUAUAGCAUGUAUGGAUCAACUACAACAACCUUGGCAAAAUUGAAUAUCAUGUUAAUAAUCUGCCAGGAACAUUUUAUAGCAAAGGUAGAGCACGAUUAAGACAUGCUAGGGCACUCCAUAAUUGCAAACAGGGGCAUGGAUGGAUAGAGCAUAACCAUAUGUCCAAAACAUCCUUACUUAACAUCCUCAAAAUAAGCAUGGAUCUCACUGUAGCCACAAGGAUACAUGGCAUCAAAAUAACAGCAGGUAAAGGACUUGGCAAAAUUCUAAGUCCCUGAAAACAGAAACAUCACGAAGCCUAGUUUGCAUGCUUGUGCUAGUCACCACAUAGAUCACAAAAAUACAUGGCAUACACCUCUGUAAAGAUGGCAUGGCAUAUUUCAAAACACAUGUAGAGCUCAUGCUCAUAAUAUGCACACAUCAAAUGCAGCAAAAAUGACAAAUCAUCAUAUUCUGAUAAGUAACAGCAGUAAACAACAUAUAGCACUCUUGCAUCAGAGAUUUUGGCCUCAAGAUGAACUCAAACGAGCAUGGCACAAUGGAACAAAAUGAAGAGCAUGUCGUGAUGAACAUUUUGAUAUAUCACACGCAUGAAACGGAGCAGUAUGCAAGGAGAUAUGAUGCGAUGAACAGAGCCACAUAAUAUGAGAAAAACGAGGGGGGGGAAGAAGUCAACCUCGAUCUAGGGUUUCGGGCACGCGAACCGAGGAUGGCCGGGGAUUCUCGCCGGAGAUCGCCGCGGUCGCCGGAGAAGAGCUCGGGGAAGGUCGGAGAAGGCGCCGGCGGGGACGGGGCCGGCCGGAGGAGGCGGAUCCGGCGCCGGCGGACGGAGGGAGCGGCGGCUCGGCGGCGCGCGGAGGCGGCGCACUGGCUAGCUCGGACGGCACCGGCGGGGAUGGAGUGGGCGCGGGACGGCGCGGGCGGAGGACGAGGCGGCGCGGGGAAGGGUUCGGGCGGCGGCAACGCGCUCGGGNNNNNNNNNNNNNNNNNNNNNNNNNNNNNNNNNNNNNNNNNNNNNNNNNNNNNNNNNNNNNNNNNNNNNNNNNNNNNNNNNNNNNNNNNNNNNNNNNNNNNNNNNNNNNNNNNNNNNNNNNNNNNNNNNNNNNNNNNNNNNNNNNNNNNNNNNNNNNNNNNNNNNNNNNNNNNNNNNNNNNNNNNNNNNNNNNNNNNNNNNNNNNNNNNNNNNNNNNNNNNNNNNNNNNNNNNNNNNNNNNNNNNNNNNNNNNNNNNNNNNNNNNNNNNNNNNNNNNNNNNNNNNNNNNNNNNNNNNNNNNNNNNNNNNNNNNNNNNNNNNNNNNNNNNNNNNNNNNNNNNNNNNNNNNNNNNNNNNNNNNNNNNNNNNNNNNNNNNNNNNNNNNNNNNNNNNNNNNNNNNNNNNNNNNNNNNNNNNNNNNNNNNNNNNNNNNNNNNNNNNNNNNNNNNNNNNNNNNNNNNNNNNNNNNNNNNNNNNNNNNNNNNNNNNNNNNNNNNNNNNNNNNNNNNNNNNNNNNNNNNNNNNNNNNNNNNNNNNNNNNNNNNNNNNNNNNNNNNNNNNNNNNNNNNNNNNNNNNNNNNNGGAGGCGGACGCCACGUGGCGCAGCGCGAUAGGUGCGGGCGCGGCGGCGGGGUUUGUCUGGCGCGGACCGGACGUGUCCGGCGCGCGGAGGGAGCGGGGCUAUGGUUUUUUGGACUGCGGGAUUUCGGGGAGGCUCACAUAUAUAUAGCUAGAGGGAGCUAGGAGACUCCAAAUGGAGUGCGGUUUUUGCCCACACGAUCAUGAUCGAACGAUCGAGAGCAUGGAGGGGGCUUAGAUGGGUUAUUGGGCUGUUUGGAGGGGUGUUUGGCUGCAACACUCAAAAGGCCUUUGCGGUUACCCGGUUAACCGUUGGAGCAUCAAACGACCUCCAAAUGGAACGAAACUUGACAGGUGGUCUACCGGUGGUGUACCAAGGCCACUUGGAAAACCUCGGUCCAUUCCGAGAAUGUUUAACACCCGCUCACGAAAAGAGACAAGAGGGGUGCGCCGGUGCAUGUGGGAGUGUCGGAUUGCAAAACGGACAACGGGGAAAAUGCUCGGAUGCAUGAGACGAACACGUAUGCAAAUAAGAUGCACAUGAUGACAUGAUAUGAAAUGCAUGACAUGAACAAAAUGCAAAACGAAAGACAAAACCCGACCACGAAAGGAAUAUCAUAACACAUAGCCGAAAAUGGCAAGAGUUGGAGUUACAAAUAUGGAAAGUUACAUCCGGGGUGUUACAGUUAAUUCGAGAACAAGUACACAGAGGUUAAUUUGACAUACAUGACUUAUAAGUUUGACAGAAAUCAUAUCAAUUUUUUUGGAAAACAUUUAAUUACGUUGAACGUAUAUAAUGCUCCAUCCUAUUAGUUGAAUUAACUUCGAGGUCCAUGUUUUGGAAACAUGUCGUAAAGUAACGGGAUAGACCUUCAUUCAAGCCAACCAACAUGUGUUCAAAAAACAAAAAUUAUCAAAAAGUAACGAGAUAGACCUUCUUCAAGCCAAUCAACAUGUGUACAAAAAACAAAAAAUGUAAAAAAUUACAAAACAGGGACCUCGAGGUUAAUUCAACUAAUAUGAUGGAGCACUAUAUACAUUCAACACAAUUAAAUGUUUACAGUGACCCAUCACAUCAGUUAAUUUAACAUCGAGGCCACUUCCCAUCCGGUCACCCAUCUGAUGACUACUCCAGCCUCAGCACACUUAACUUGGGAGUUCUGUUAGAUGAGCUAUAGGUAGGGAAGUUGGUCCUUGCUGCUGUAGGAUCCCUCUUUGCAUCCUUUAUUGGGCACCCGGAUGACCGACUGUUGCCGCCCAAUGGUCAAUGCCACGUCCCCCGCAUGGCAGUUUUUGCAGCGGGUAACUGCAUCGUCGCGCCACGCCCGGCGCACCGCAUGCACAUGAACGUGCGUGAUCGUGCGCCGGCCCCAAACACUGGCAGCACAACUUAUAAAUUUACGGAUGGAGUACUAGUUACAGUGAUGCAUAUAAUUAAGAAAAGGGAUCGCACAUGUCUGUAUUGACUAGAACGAGAAUGCAAUAGCACAAUAAGAAUUAAGGCCACGAUGAUGCCAUCGCAGUGGUGGUUACAGGAGGCAAGAAGAAAGAUGCAUCCAUCAACGUACGACCUCCUCCUCCUCAACUCAGUGCGCCGGGCCACCGACCGGCGGCUAAGGAGCAUUGGCUUUUGUGGCGAGGUUAAGGUGCUUCUCAGCGAAGGCAUCCAAGGCUUCCAGCCGGUUGAAGAAGGCCAACGUCGUAGCGUCCUCACUGGCCUUGUAGAUACCUAUGUACACGAUUCGCUCGUACACAUGGAUGUGUAGGUCGACGGUUUCUUGCAGGGCGAGGCACCUCGCGGCGAGCGCGACCUCCAAGUGGACAUUCUUUGUGGCGUCGGCGGGCAGUCGCAGGGCCACCAGUGCUUGAAAGAGGUUCCGACCAUGGAGGCCAAUUAGGGUGGCAGGCAAUGAGGAGCCCGGGCACACGGGCUGGAGGAGUACGGCGAUGUCGUCCGCGAGCUUCUUGACGACGGUGAACCUGUUGGUGGUGCGAACGAUCAUCUGGUCGUACUGAGAGUCAUAGCUGGCAUCGACAACGGCCAUCCACCAGCCGGUCGCCAACACCGUGUGGAGACGAUCCACGGUGCCAUGCCGCGGGCCGGCAUCAUGGACCAUCUGGCACAGCCACUGGCCGCUCGUGCGCAUCGCCGCCAUGGGUCUGGAGUGAGCACUUUGCGCUUAUUAGUGUAGGUGCUUAGGCAAAUGCUUAGGUGCGUACGAUGUGGUAGAUGCAUUGGAAUGGACGGGCGCCUUUAUAUGAGUGAAAACUGCGUUGCAUUCACAUCGUGCUGCCUCUUUUCCCGGUCCUCCUCCCAUUACUUCCCUCAUGCAUUCACACGAUGCUAAUUGAAGCAGGAUGCAUCAUUGGCCGUUCAACAUUUCGGAAACCGCUACCCUCUCCCCCGUCUGCAUUAAAGCCGUAUCAGGAACUGCGUCGCCCGCUGUCAAAUCGAAUAGUACUGCGCGCCCGCUGCACGCCCGUCUGAACAUGCCUCCUCACCUCCAUCUAUGCUUAAGUACUGAAUUUUAGUUGCAAAAAUUAGAUACUGCUAGUGAUUUUUAGCUUCAUAUUUUGACAAAUCGCAGUGUUACAAGGUUGGCAAAUGGCAAUGUUACUAGAUCAACAAAUGUCAAUCUUUCUAGUUUGACAAAUGGCAACAUACCCAAUAUGAUAGAAGCAAAUCUUACCAAAUUGUUUGUAAGUGGUUCACACGGGUCAUCCAAAAGAACCGUUUGUGUUCAAGAGAUGCACAAAUCAUGCGCUCACUUUGCAAACGGGUGUUCUAUCUAAAACAUUUGCGAUCAAGAGCCAUUAAAUCCUAUAGCCAUUAAAAACCAAGACACGUGGCGUCACGUGAAUGGUUAACAUAACGCACACGGUUUGAAUUAUACAAACAUUUGAGAUAUUAAAGUGGCAGCUAUUUUUUCAAAAUGCCUUUAUUGGCUGUUAUUCGAGUGCGCCUUCUCUCAAAAUGGACACGAAAAAUACCACAACAUGUCGGGUGCCAUUCCAUUAUAGCAUGCCAUGUUUCAUGAAUUUCAUACGAGUUUUGGAUUUACUAGAAUUUAAAAACCAGGCAUCUCAAUGUUUGCGGCUGAGUGACGGUGGCGGGUGUUUGACAUUCAUUCCCAUUUCUAGCAUGGGACCUAAGCAUGCACCCAAGGACAAAGAUUUGAUUUCUCAACCAAUUUAUAUGCAAUGGAGCAUGUGCAUGUAGUUCAAAUUUGAAUUAUGCACAUAAAUGCAUUGAAAACUCACUUAAUGCAUAAAAAUGUCCAAACGAACCCUGAAAAAUCACCAAAAAUAACACAACACUCCUGUUGUUCUAUGUUGGCACGAGAAAAUUUUUUGAAAGCAAUAAGAGGCAACAGAUAUCGUUUCGUCCCCAAAGGUGGGGCGUUCCCUACCGAAACCAUCAUGCUUGUUGUGAGAAGCUCUAGUUUGUGAGAAGCAUAUACCCAAACCUGCCCCAAAUGGGACAAAAUAUUUACCACGAUAUGUUGAUGCCGCUCCAUUAUAGCAUGCCAAGUUUCAUGAAUUUCAGACAAGUUUUAGAUUUACUAGAAUUUAAAAACCAGGUAUCUCAAUGUUUGCGGCCGAGUGACGGUGGCAGGGUGUUUGACAUUCAUUGCCAUUUCUUGCAUGGGACCUAAGCAUGCACCCAAGGACAAAGACUUGAUUUUCCAACCAAUUUAUAUGCACUGGAGCAUGUGCAUAUAGUUCAAAUUUGAAUUAUGCACAUAAAUGCAUUGAAAACUCACUUAAUGCAUAAAAAUGUCCAAACGAACCACGAAGAAUCACAAAAAUUAACACAACACUUAUGUUGUUCUAUGUUGACACGAGAAAAUUUUUGAAAGCAAUAAGAGGCAAUGGAUAUCGUUUCGUCCCCAAAGGUGGGGCGUUCCCUACCAAAACCAUCUUGCUUGUUGUGAGAAGCUCUGGUUUGUGAGAAGCAUAUACCCAAACCUGCCCCAAAUGGGACAAAAAAUUUACCACGGCAUGUUGAUGCCGCUCCAUUAUAGCAUGCCAAGUUUCCUGAAUUUUAGACGAGUUUUGGAUUUACUAGAAUUUAAAAACCAUGUAUCUUAAUGUUUGCGGUCGAGUGACGGUGGCAGGGUGUUUGACAUUCAUUCCCAUUUCUUGCAUGGGACCUAAGCAUGCACCCAGGGACAAAGAUUUGAUUUUUCAACCAAUUUAUGUGCUCUGGAGCAUGUGCAUGUAGUUCAAAUUUGAAUUAUGCACAUAAAUGCAUUGAAAACUCACUUAAUGCAUAAAAAUGUGCAAACGAACCCUGGAUAAUUCCAAUUCUUUUAUGACACACAUAUAGUUGCAUGUUCACUGCAGAUAAAAGGUCUAGCAAUUCAAACACCGUCCAUGGCCGCUGUGAUCCCAUUAUGUAAUUCAAAUCAAGACGAAAAAUCAAGUAGAUCCCACACAGUUUAUUAUAACCAACCGUGUGAGAUGCAGGACAAAAUAUCUUGGAGCAUCGUCGGAGUAUAGUACGCAUACGGCUUACGCGAGAAGGUGCGAUGGCUACAGUCCAUAGCCUGCUCUGAAUAAGGGGCCGUGUCUGGUGACACUUUGCACGCCAGUUUUUUCGCUGAAGCGAUUCCAAAUUUUCGGCUUCCGCGGAAAUAUCUACCUCCCCGCCCCUUCCCCCUUACCAAAAGCCACAUUUCCCCUGCUUCCGCCUUCCUUUCCAAGUUGAAACCUUCACUCCUUGCUUGCAGCGCCGCCUCCUCGCCGGCGACCCUCCUUCACGCUGCUCGGCCUUGCCUAUCCAGGCAGGUAAUCCACACCCGACCCCCAUCCUCCUCCUCCUUCCACAUCCCACAUGCCCUGACCGCCGGCGCGAGCGCGACACCUUCCACCCAAAUCACUGACCCCUCCACCAAAUAGGCGUCGGCCUAAGCCAUGGUGCACGCAGUAUAGCCAGGAUCUCAAGGAGCAUUUGGCAGCGGAGAAGCAAAUCGCGGCCGCACGCGCGGAUGAGGUCGCGAUGGCUGCCAUUCGUGCCGACCCCCAGAUCUUGGAGGACCACCUCGCCGUCGAGGCCACCGUUGAUGCCUCGCGCGCCGACUCUGCAACGCGGUUGGCUGCUUUAAACGACAAUUCGUGGCGUUUUCUUGAGUCCACCAUCGGUGCCUUCGACAAAGACUACGAGGUGUUUUCUCAACGUGCAAGUGCUUACCUCAUCUCGAGAGCCAGCAGGUUGGUGCCCGGAGCGGCUCAGGCAACUCUCCACUACAACGAGGGCACCCACGACGCGGAGGCCUCGCCGUCUUCCAUGUCCAAGGAGCCAAUCGUCAUCGAUAUCUCCGACAAUGAGGAGUAGCUUGUCUUAUUAGCUCACUAUAAGGACCCAUGUUCAGUUUGCAAGCUACUGCCUUUCCUUAACAAAUUCUAGUGAAUUGUGCUAUCUACUUUUACAAUGCAAUCUUCUGCUAUAGUGUAUAUGUUCUAUAUGUCAUGCAAUGUGGUGUUCAGUUAACUGCUUGGUUCAAUUCUGCAAAUGUGAUGUUCAAUUCUCCAGGGUGCAAUAUUUCCAAGUUGUUAUGCAUGCUUGGUUUGGUUAACUAUCUGAUCUUCUAUUACGAGUAUGUUAUAUUGUGCAAUGUGGUGCUCAGUUAACGUUUGGUUCAUUUGUUGUGGUGUUUAGUUAACUGCUUGGUUCAAUUCUGCAAAGCGAUGUUCAAUUGUUGUGGCUGCAUUCUGUUAUUGUAUACCAUGUGAGAAAUAAAUCAAAUUUGGAUGUACUAAAUACAUGAGAAACAAAUACAAUUGUUAUAUUUCCAAGUUGUUAAGCAUGCUUGGUUUGGUUAACUGUCUGAUCUUCUAUUAGGAAUAUGUUAUAUUGUGCAAUGUGGUGCUCAGUUAACGUUUGGUUCAUUUGUUGUGGUGUUUAGUUAACUGCUUGGUUCAAUUCUGCAAUGAGAUGUUCAAUUGUUGUGGCUGCAUUCUAUUAUUGUAUACCAUGUGAGGAAUAAAUCGAAUUUGGUUGCACUUAAUACAUGAGAAACAUAUACAAGUGCUAUAUUUCCUAGUUCUUAAUCAUGCUUGGUUUGGAUAAAUGGGUUUUCCAUGUGGCUUGAACUAAUCUGAUGAAUCUGUAAUGUGCUUAUUUAUCAUCAACAUAUUUUACUGAUAGCAUGCGAACCCUUACUUAACCUGAUGACUAACUACCUUAUAUGUGUUGCAGGGAGACAAUGGGAAGCACUGAGGUUUACAAGAUGGUACUAACUGUUAUACCUUGCCUUUUUUUAUUCCUUUGCCCCAUUUCCAAUAUAGAGAAGAUAUUUAUGCACAUCCUUGUUUUCAGGGUUCACUGAUGAUUACCUCUCAAACCACCUCUGUGGUCAGGAGGCAAGGAAAGUUUUCAUACAACACCCACGGUUCAAUAUUGAAGUGUUCCUGAAGAGGUCGAAGGAUGGACGGUCAAUCAUCCACAGGCACUGGCCUAAAGUUGCAAAGACCUUCAACAUGAAUGAAGGCUCAAUAUUCGCCUUCAGCUUCAGCAGUUUUCCAGAUGAGAUGCAUCUCUCUAUGUACCGUCUAUGGUGCUAAUUUCGAAAGGUUCUAGAUGUUGCAUGUGAAACUUGCUGCUGGUGCAGUUGUGUAAUGGGUAGCUGACUGCUGAAGCUAUAUCAUGUUGUACUCCGAUGUAUUUCAAUUAUGAAAUCCUGCUUCCUUUAUAUGGAAAUGGAAGAUAUUAUGUGCUUAAUAUGAAUGUCAAUUAGAUUAGUAAAUGGAUUAUGAAUAAUAGGGCAAUUAGCCCGCUAAUUGGCCAAUUAGCUUGCUAAUUGGGUUUUCCUAUUGCAAAAGGUUAUUGAGAAAACACCAUGGGCGAUGACCUCAGGCAACGCACAUAGUUUCUAGGAAUAAUCCGUGUUGGAUCAAUGAACAAUCACACACGACAUUCUCUUGAAAACUGUUUGCGUUACGCCACCCUGUGCAAACGUUUUCCUUGGAGUGACUGUGUGGGAUGUAUAUACGAACGGAAACUUUUAGUGGUGACUAACUGUGUGGGAUGUACUUACGACCGGAAAUGAUUUCGCCUGUAUAAUUGUAUUUUUUAGCACUACUGUACAUAUUUCUGUAUUUGAAUGUUCGCCGGUCGCACACGACCUCAUUUUGCCGAGCGUGUGUGCCAGGAGGGCAUAUCCCCGACGGUUUCUGGGUCGUGUGGGAAGGACCCCCCUAUCGCCCACACUCACUAGGUGACGGUUCAGAACACCGUCGCAGAAAGGGGUUAAAAACCGUUUGUAUAACACCGACGUGUACCAGUGUAUGAUGGCGAUGAACCGAGAGGAGGAGGAAGGCCCUGUUUGGAUACUCUAACUCAGUUAGAGGUUAGAGUUAGAUUCUAACCCUGAACUAACCCUAAACUAACUCUAACCAAAGAUGUGUUUGGAUGGCAGGGUUAGAUUGACAAUAAAUGCUCUUUCUCAAUCAUUUGACUACUUUGGACCCUAUUCCCUGCCGGAUUUGGUGUGGCUAGCUCUUGUGUGGCCUCCUCCCACUCACAAUUGACAUAAACGAACCAUCUUUACAAAUCAAGCAUGCAAAACAUGAUAAAUUCUAUUUUGUCCAUACAAAUGAGAUAUCCCACUUAAACAUACAAGUCGUCAAUCAAGCUUCACAAAAAAAUUACACUCCAUGAAACAAAGCAUGAGCUAACUCAUCACGGAAGGCAUUCACGAUAGGGAGGGAGCCCGGAGCCGCUGACGCGCCCAGGGAGGAGCUCGUCAUCGUCGCUCUGGAGGAAGGCUCCGUAGAGCCCCAGGCCCGGGAACCCCUCCGACGUUGGCGCUUGCGAGUUGAGGUCGAGACCAGCAUUGGUAGCAGGGCCGCUUGCCGACGGCUACGAACCGAAUCUUUGGGCCUCUAGAAAUAAUGCAAGCCCGAAACUGAAAUACCUAGAAAGGUGAACUGAAUCUUUGGGCCUCUAGAAAUAAUGCAAGCCUGAAACUGAAAUACCUAGAAAGACGAACUGAAUCUUUGGGCCUCUAGAAAGAUUUAUUACCUCCUCAAGCAGCAUCAAACAAUUCCAUGCAUGCACCACAAAUCUAUACCAAGUUUAAUCAGGAUCUACUUUUCCAAAUCAGAAUCAGCGCUAGAGCGAGCAAGAUCAAUUAUAUGGCUGUGAGACAGACAAGGAAUGAAUGAACUAACCCCUCUCGCGACCUCCCUGGUAGAUGUGCCGCUGCUGCGCACGACAGAGGGAGAGAAAGGACCAUUGAAGGGGAGCGGGGUGAACUAUCACUAUCUCAUCUGGGAGAUUAACUCCCACUCGAUUCAAGCGAUUGUGGCACUCAGACAAUCUGAGCACAUGCUCAACGAUUGAGCUUUUCUCCCUUAGUUUGCAGGCUUAAGAAACUUGUCAGAGGUCUCAUACCUCUUGACGUGGGCACUAGUCUGAAAUCCCAAUUUCAGUCUUCGGUACAUCUCACAUGUUCUGCGACGUUUCAAAACGUCUUUGGUGCCACAAUUUUAAACCGCACUGAACUAUCACGUAGUCAUCAAAACGUGUAUGUCAGAUGUUUCGUAACAUAUACAGAGGGCGCUGAGGUUCAGCACACCGAGUGGUGCAUUAAGGACAUAAGCCUUCUGUGCAGCAAUGAGGACAAUCCUCAGUUUACGGACCCAGUCCGCAUAAUUGCUACUACCAACUUUCAACUAAAUUUUCUCUAGGAACAUAUCUUAACCAGUAGAACUAAAGCGCAAGCUAUGACAUAAUUUGCAAAUACCUUUUUUGACUAUGUUCAUGAUAAUGAAGUUCACAUAAUCAAAUUAUUCAAUGAACUCCCACUCAGAUAGACAUCCCUGUAGUCAUCUAAGUGAAACAUGAUCCGAGUUUAACUAGGCCGUGUCCGAUCAUCACGUGAGACGGACUAGUCAAGAUCGGUGAACAUCUCCAUGUUGAUCGUAUCUUCUAUACGACUCAUGCUCGACCUUUCGGUCCUCCGUGUUCCGAGGCCAUGUCUGUACAUGCUAGGCUCGUCAAGUCAACCUAAGUGUAUUGCGUGUGUUCCGAGGCCAUGUCUGUACAUGCUAGGCUCGUCAACACCCGUUUUAUUCGAACGUUAGAAUCUAUCACACCCGAUCAUCACGUGGUGCUUCGAAACAACGAACCUUCGCAACGGUGCACAGUUAGGGUGAACACUUUCUUGAAAUUAUUAUAAGGGAUCAUCUUACUUACUACCGUCGUUCUAAGCAAAUAAGAUGCAAAAACAUGAUAAACAUCACAUGCAAUCAAAUAGUGACAUGAUAUGGCCAAUAUCAUCAUGCUCCUUUGAUCUCCAUCUUCGGGGCACCAUGAUCAUCUUCGUCACCGGCAUGACACCAUGAUCUCCAUCAUUGUGUCUUCAUGAAGUCGUCACGCCAACGAUUACUUCUACUUCUAUGGCUAACGCGUUUAGCAACAAAGUAAAGUAAUUUACAUGGCGUUAUUCAAUGACACGCAGGUCAUACAAAAUAAUAAAGACAACUUCUAUGGCUCCUGCCGGUUGUCAUACUCAUCGACAUGCAAGUCGUGAUUCCUAUUACAAGAAUAUGAUCAAUCUCAUACAUCACAUAUAUCAUUCAUCACAUCUUCUGGCCAUAUCACAUCACAUAGCACUUGCUGCAAAAACAAGUUAGACGUCCUCUAAUUGUUGUUGCAAGUUUUUACGUGGUUUGUAGGUUUCUAGCAAGAACGUUUUCUUACCUACGUAUGACCACAACGUGAUUUGCCAAUUUCUAUUUACCGUUCAUAAGGACCCUUUUCAUCGAAUCCGUUCCGACUAAAGUAGGAGAGACAGACACCCGCUAGCCACCUUAUGCAUCUAGUGCAUGUCAGUUGGUGGAACCUGUCUCACGUAAGCGUACGUGUAAGGUCGGUCCGGGCCGCUUCAUCCCACGAUGCCGCCGAAACAAGAUAAGACUAGUAGUGGCAAGAAAAAUUGACAACAUAUGCGCCCACAACAAUCUUGUGUUCUACUCGUGCAUAGUAACUACGCAUAGGCCUGGCUCAUGAUGCCACUGUUGGGGAUCGUAGCAGAAAUUUAAAAUUUUCUACGCAUCACCAAGAUUCAUCUAUGGAGUUUACUAGCAACGAGAAGGAAGGAGUGCAUCUACAUACCCUUGUAGAUCGCGAGCGGAAGCGUUCAAGUGAACGGGGUUGAUGGAGUCGUACUCGUCGUGAUCCAAAUCACCGAUGACCGAGCGCCGAACGGACGGCACCUCCGCGUUCAACACACGUACGGAGCAGCGAAGUCCCCUCCUUCUUGAUCCAGCAAGGGGGAAGGAGAGGUUGAUGGGGAUCCAGCAGCACGACGGCGUGGCGGUGGAAGUAGCGGGGAUCCCGGCAGGGCUUCGCCAAGCGCAAGCGGGAGGGAGAGGUGUCACGGGAGGGGGAGGGAGGCGCCAGGGGCUGUGGUCCUGCUGCCCUCCCUCCCCCCCACUAUAUAUAGGCCCCUGGGGGGGCGCCGGCCCUGGGAUCCCAUCUACAUGGGGGGGCGGCCGCCAAGGGGGGAAACUUGCCCCCAAGCCAGGUGGGGCGCCCCCACCCCCAGGGUUUCCAACCCUAGGCGCAGGGGGAGGCCCAUGGGGGGCGCACCAGCCCACCAGGGGCUGGUUCCCCUCCCACUUCAGCCCAUGGGGCCCUCCGGGAUAGGUGGCCCCACCCGGUGGACCCCCGGGACCCUUCCGGUGGUCCCGGUACAAUACCGAUAACCCCCGAAACUUUCCCGGUGGCCGACACUGGACUUCCUAUAUAUAAUUCUUCACCUCCGGACCAUUCCGGAACUCCUCGUGACGUCCGGGAUCUCAUCCGGGACUCCGAACAACUUUCGGGUUUCCGCAUACUAAUAUCUCUACAACCCUAGCGUCACCGAACCUUAAGUGUGUAGACCCUACGGGUUCGGGAGACAUGCAGACAUGACCGAGACGACUCUCCGGUCAAUAACCAACAGCGGGAUCUGGAUACCCAUGUUGGCUCCCACAUGUUCCACGAUGAUCUCAUCGGAUGAACCACGAUGUCGAGGAUUCAAUCAAUCCCGUAUACAAUUCCCUUUGUCAAACGGUAUGUUACUUGCCCGAGAUUCGAUCGUCGGUAUCCCAAUACCUUGUUCAAUCUCGUUACCGGCAAGUCUCUUUACUCGUACCGUAAUGCAUGAUCCCGUGGCUAACUCCUUAGUCACAUUGAGCUCAUUAUGAUGAUGCAUUACCGAGUGGGCCCAGAGAUACCUUUCCGUCACACGGAGUGACAAAUCCCAGUCUCGAUCCGUGUCAACCCAACAGACACUUCCAGAGAUACCUGUAGUGUACCUUUAUAGUCACCCAGUUACGUUGUGACAUUUGGUACACCCAAAGCACUCCUACGGCAUCCGGGAGUUACACGAUCUCAUGGUCUAAGGAAAAUAUACUUGACAUUGGAAAAGCUCUAGCAAACGAACUACACGAUCUUUGCGCUAUGCUUAGGAUUGGGUCUUGUCCAUCACAUCAUUCUCCUAAUGAUGUGAUCUCGUUAUCAAUGACAUCCAAUGUCCAUAGUCAGGAAACCAUGACUAUCUGUUGAUCAACGAGCUAGUCAACUAGAGGCUUACUAGGGACACGUUGUGGUCUAUGUAUUCACACAUGUAUUACAAUUUCCGGAUAACACAAUUAUAGCAUGAACAAUAGACAAUUAUCAUGAACAAGGAAAUAUAAUAAUAACCAUUUUAUUAUUGCCUCUAGGGCAUAUUUCCAACAAAGGGCGCAUGUAAAAUGAAGUGAUCACACUGUUACCUUAAGGACAUGUCUAACCAGUGUUAUUGUUAAUCUAAUGCCUCAAGUGAUAUGAUGCAAUUAAACUAUGUUACAAAUGGUACUCCUGCAGUUUUCCCCAGUAUGAUAAGUAAGUUGCUUCUUUACGCUGCUGAGUGUCCUAGUGUCCCCAUGGUCCCAUGCCCUUAAACCAACUCUUUAGCUGUUGUUGAUCUACUGUAUCUGGUAAACGAGCAAUGACACCAUUAAAGUAAUCCCAUAUUUGACGAAUGUCAUUGUUGAUCGUAAUGCUUCCGGUAACAUGAAGCAUUGCUGACGUUUAAAAUUUCUACUAUCCUUGCGUGAUUGCCAUGAACAUAUUGAAGAUGCUUCUUUUCAUUUCGUGUAUGUUUCGUAUCUUGUUAUUGACCAGCAACUGUUUUCUUUCUAUCUUUUUGUGCAGAUAGGGAUAUCCAUUUCACCUUGUUGCUAUUGUGACCUUUUGGUGAACUGCACAAAACACUUUUUUGGAAUGAGUGUCUUGUGCAGUUCAACUAAAAUGUCACGUGGGCAACAUCUCUCAAUUUUGGUGGAACUGCACAAAAUGGUGAUUGGACUUUCCAAAAUCUCCAUCAAAUUCUGCCGGUAAUCUCGUGCAACAUUUUAUUAGCCUUUGCAAGAUGAUCCGUCACUGUCACCACAAUGGCACUUUAUUUUAGUGGAACUGCACAAAAGGAUAAGCAAAUUAUAGUUGCACCUUACAUGAGCAGGACAGCCAACCUUAAUGUUGCUCAAUUUUUGUGCAAAUACUAAAGAAGAACCUGCCAGCUCAUGAGAGCAAGUACUUCUUGCUAGCUGAAUGAUGCAAUCUUUGCUUCAUUUCAGGUGAACUGCAGAAAAAGUCGCAUGAAUUGAAUCAUCGAAUGGAGCUGCAGGUUGACUUCAACUAGUGCCACUAUUAUAGUAAUCAUGCUCUUUCUUAUUUGUGUUGUGCAAACACGAAUACUCAACUACAAAUGUUGUGAUGGUCAAGAGCAUUCGCCAAGUUCUUGGUUUGUAUGACACGGCUAGCCAAGAUGGAUUUAAUCCCGAUAUUCACUUUAUCAAAAUGCUCUAAUGGGUUGGUUUUGAAUCUUGCAAGCUGGGAAUCAAUGAGAUGUGUAGGCAUCUUUGUUGUACUUAUUAUUUGAAUCUUACUUGUUGGUUCUGAAUCUUGCAAGUUGGGAAUCAAUGAGAUGUGUAGGCAUCUUUGUUGUACUUAUUAUUUGAAUCUUAUUUGUUGGUUCUGAAUCUUGCAAGCUGGAAAACAUGGCAUGAUGAUGCAGAGGACAGCAACCAUAACAAACAGUUCAAACUUGGUAGUAUUAUCCAUGUGAAAGUGCGAUAAAUGUGCUGAUCGUGUGCAUCCUGAGAAUAAUAAUUCUAAUUGGUGUGCAUGUUGAUGUUGUGGCAAUGAUAGAAUGAGCCAAUGCAUUGCUUGUUUUAAGAAUAAAUUUUAAUUAAAGCUAAUUAAAUUUAACUAAAGUGACCACUAACACUUGUUAUUACAGUACCAAUACAAACCCGCUCGUGAACCGACGUGUGGCCGGAAUAGGUUUCUUAAUGGAGGCAUUUGAAUGCGCCGAGGGUGCAUGUUCUGUCGGGCGUGCAGCGGGCAAGGGAGGGGUAGUAACUGUUGUCGCCUAUACACACUCAGUUUACUGUUGAAUCUAGUUCCCCAAGAGCUGGAAAAUGAACUGCUGCCACCGCCUACCCACUCGUUCACUUGAAGAGACUCCAAUGGCCAUCCGAGGGGUGAGCCUGCUGGAUAUGGACUUCAGCAAGGAGUUCACCUUUGAGUUCGCUAUUCAGUCCCUUGGCUGCACCAAGUUGAAUGUGAUGUACACCAACGAUCCAGACUCGGUGAAGCUCUGCCUCGCCGAGUUCAAGCAGUACCUACAGGACGAGAAAGCACAAGGUCGCAGGACUAGACCUUGUGCCCAUCCAUUCGUCUCCUGACAGGGACCAGCGGAUCGCCGUCGCCCAGGUAUGCGUGCGGGCCGAGGUUCUCGUCAACCACUAUUGUAGGUCCAUCAAAGGUUCUGGAGCAUUCAACCGUUUCAUCGGCAAUUCUGACUGCACCUUCGCUACGGUGGAGAGAAGGAAGAACACGACGAUUCGGCCAUCUGGUGCAACAAUCUUGUCGACAUCCAGAAGCAAUACAAGAUCAUCGGUAAUGGGAAGGAGAAGGACUCCGUGGCCCCUGCUAUGCCAACAUGAAAGAAGACAACUAUACCAAUGACCUGAACACGUGGGAGGUACCUCUGAAUCUAGCCUACAUAACCUACGCGGCCAAGGACGCAUACGCAUGCUACGACAUGUACAGGCGAUCUUGGACAUGAGGGCGUGCCUGCUUCCCGUAACCGACGAGUACACGGACAGCCGCAGCGUCAUGAUCAAGCGUGCCAAGAAAGUCUAGAUGUUGUACUUUAUCUAUUUAAGCACCUUUAUCAUCUGAGUGUUUCAUGCAUUAGCCUAUGUGUCGUAAUGAUCUGUUUUGUCCGAAAUAUUUCUUCUAAGAACCCAUUAACCUGUUUGCUUUUUUAGUGGCUAUUUGCUUAUGUAUGUAACUAGUUCACUCGGUUGUCGUGCUUUGAAUGUCCUUCCUCCCAACAUAUUCCCCUUCUCAGGUGGACCUAGCAAGUCUGGUACACAGACAUCCGGGACCAACCACCUAUCCAUUUGUAUUUCUUUAUUUUGGUCAAUCUUUCAUCCUCUUCCUAUAUAGCGGCUGGCGCGCUGCCGCGCACGCCUCGGUGACCCAUCAUAGCCUAUGGCGUUGGCCAAGCCAUCCCUCUCCUCCCACACAUUGUCCGGCGGCGGCAGCUCCACCGGCCCACCCUGCACCCGAACAAGUCAACCCUUGUACUCCCCUCCGCCUGCGUCUUCCCCCGCUCCGGUUCGUUCGGUCCGAGGUCUCGACGUCGUCCUCCGCCUUGGUGCUCUCUCCGCGGCGCCGCCGUAUGUCGUUCCCAACAUGGUCAACCAAAAAAGAGGAAUCGUGAGAUGACUGUUCGUCGAGAGGCUGACAGUCCCGGGACCACCAGGUCCAUGGCCUAGGUUUUGUUGUUUAACAUGGGCAACCCACGACAUGUUUCAACUUUUUUUGGAUCCAGCAGGUAUCAAGCAGCCUUUGGGUCUCCCAGCCUAGCUUGUCUAUAACAUCAGCAGCCCAAGUUAUGUUUGUUUUUUCAAGACGACGCACGGCUCAAUUCUAUUUUCUAUAAGAAUGCAAAACUGAACCUAUGUUUUCCCUUCUAUAAUAGUAUAUAUAUAUAUAUUAAUAUUUACAUCUUAUUUUAUUACACAUAUAUAUAAUACAAAUAACAUAAGGUUCCGUUAAACCUGUCGCUCGUCCAACCAUUUUAUAGACCUUCCCACUUCCUUUAUUUUUCGUUUUCAUUAAUCCUAUAUCAGAAUUUUCUCCCACUUUCUUUUUCGAUGUAAUCUGAGUUUUCUCCCAGCACUUUUCCAUAGAACCAACUCAACUGUCCCACGUCUAGCCUAAAAAAUAAUAAUACCCCACGUCCUAUUAACUCAUCUCGAAAGUUCUUACAAAAUAAUAAUAAUAAUUGUUUAUAUAUAACUUGGCAAGUUAACUCCUAGUGAUUGCAUACAUAAGCUUGCAAAGAUUUUACUGACCAAUGCAGUAAUAGACGUGCAAUCAUGUGUUUAUGUUUUUAUAGCGUUUCUCCCUCCAGCCCAACAUGAUAUUUUCACCCAGCCCAGCAAGUCCGCGGAUUUCGAGAAAAUGCAAAUGGGCUUUAAAUUCUACCAUAAUAUAUAAACGGGCUGCAUAGAUGCUACAUAAUUGUUUCACCCAGCCCACCAAUGGACUAAAAAAACCAAAUGGACUGGCUGGCAUGUGGGCCAGUAGGUCGAAGCCUAAGCACUUUCGCAAAAAAUAAAAAUACAAAGGUCGAAGCCUAAGCAAGGCGUUGGAUUUACAUCCAACGGCUGGUAUUCUUCUUCAAUCUCUCGUCUUCUUCCCCCAGCGCUGCCGGGACCGCCUGCUCCAGCCUCCGGCGUCCAGCGGCGCUGUUUUGCGCGCCUCGCAGCGAAACGCUACCCCGCCGACGGCCAGGCCAUCCCUCCACUCCUCCGCACCUCCUGUUAUUCUCUGCCGAGUGUAGGCCCGCCCCGCACCCGAACCAGUCAAGUGUCCCACUCCUCUCUGUCUGUGACUCCACUGCUGCAUCUUCCCCAUCUUCGUGGCAUUCCAGUCUGGGGCCUCGCCUUCAUCCACUGGCUUGCUACGCUCUGCACGGUGUGGUCAACAUGGUCAACAAACGAGAGUCAUCGGAAGAUGACUGUACGUGGAGAGGCUGACAGUGGGGACGCACCACGCCCAUGGACGCAUGCAUGCAACUGCAUCCUUUUUACCCUAAAAAUAAUGUUUUCUCCCCCUGACAGCUGGGACCCACUAGCUACAUCUUUGCACGCAAGGAAGUGUGUCCUUAUUAUGGGCAAAAAAUGAUUCUUCCCUCUGAGAGCCGUGACCCACCGGCUAUAUCUUCGCACGUAAGGAAGUGCGUCCUUAUCCUCCCUGACAGCUGGGACCCACCCAGUUGAAGCGUACGUAGCGUUGUCUGUGUACAUACCGGUCAAUUGGUCUAUCUGCCACGAUGAACCGUGGCUGGGUAAGGAGCGGUAGCAGUUCAGGCAGUCCAGUCGAAACCGUGUACACGUACGUACAACCAGAUGCCAAAAAAUACGGCCACGUACAUACAUACGGGAGGGGUCUCGAACGCGUACUCGCGCAUACGUACGGCCAGGGCUCGUGUACAUGGAGAGGCCACGGACGGCAGCAACGGCGUCCUGAUCAUCGGAAGCCAACCGGCUGGGUCGGAAAGGAGAAACUGCGUCGUGUUCAUGGGGAGGCAACGGAAUGCGUCGUGUUCAUCGAGAGGCAACGAAAUACGUCGUGUUCAUCAGGAGCCAACCGGCUUGGAUGGAACAGCCGAAAUGAGGUCUGGCGUACCGCAGAACAGAGGAAACGGGCCUUCUGUUCGACCGCGUACGGUCGAAACCGGGCCCUGUUCAUCGGGAAGGGUCUGGCAUACCGCAGAAUGGAGGAAACGGACUUGUGUUUGACCGCGUACGGUCGAAACGGGGUCCUGUUCAUCGGGAGGGGUGUGGCGUACCGCAAAAUGGAGGAAAUAGACUUGUGUUGGAGCGCAUACAGUCAAAACAGGGUCAUGUUCAUCCACCGUCUACUGCCUCGCUUCAGCCUCCACAUGCUACUAUUCAUCCACCGUCGACUUCCUCCAGCCUCCACCUGUUACUAUUCAUCCACCGUCGACUUCCUCCAGCCUCCACCAGCUACUGUUCAUCCACGAGGUCAUGUUCAUCCAGCCUCCACCGGCUAUUGUUCAACCAGCCCUCUUGUUGGGAAACGUAGCAUGCAAUUUCAAAAAAAUUCCUACGCUCACACAAGAUCUUCCUAGGAGAUGCAUAGAAACGAGAGGGGGAGUGUGUCUACGUACCCUCUUAGACCGAAAGCGGAAGCGUUUGACAACGCGGUUGAUGUAGUCGAACUUCUUCUCGUUCUGACCGAUCAAGCACCGAACGUACGACACCUCCGAGUUCUGCACACGUUCAGCUCGAUGACGUCCCUCGAACUCUUGAUCCAGCAAAGUGUCAAGGAAGUAGAUGAGUUCCGUCAGCACGACGGCGUGAUGACGGUGAUGGUGAAGUGAUCCGCGAAGGGCUUCGCCUAAGCACUACGAGAAUAUGACCGAGGGUAUAAUCUGUCGGGGAAACGACACCUAUGGGAUCACAAGAAUCCCUACUACGGUUGCCGGGGCGCAGGGUUGCAAGAAGAGCAGGAUCAGUAGACAGCACAAGGAUCGUUUACCCAAGUUCGGGCCGCGAGGAUGCGUAAAACACUAGUCCUGCUUUGGUGGGUGUAUUUCAGAUAGUUCUUGAGCUCUCGAACUAGCUGUGGUGAGUGCGUGGUUCGAAAGAGCCGAAUCCUCCUCCAGUAUGCCAUGGGCCUCCUUUUAUAGUCGAAAGGGGCUGCCAAAGUGGCACACAGGAGGUGGAAAGGCGUACAGUGCCCUGAGCUUAGGUGUCCCCUUGCUUUAUUGGGGACGGGGGCGAGGCCCGUCCCGUCCGUCGCCGCUCCUCCUCGCUUCGACACGCGCCCUGGCCAGCGAGGCGUGCGGUGCCAUGUUGGCAGGCAGGCAGUUGAGGUGGCGCAGUGGUGGAGCCUUCACGAAGAUCUGCAUGCCGCCCCGCAUGCGCUCAAUGAGUUGGCCUGGGAUCUGCAUGUUGCCACGCAGGUGCCCGCCCAGCUGGUUGGGCUGGCAGCUGCAUGUGAACGGUGGUGGAAGCUUGGUUGGCGUGGCCUGGCGGUGGCCCUGCUGGCGUCGUUGGUGAAGGCCUUGCCGGGCGGCCCGACAAGGGUCUUGCCGUGUGGCCCGGCAAGGGCCUUGCCGUGGCGCACUGUCGUUCCCGGCAAGGGCCGCCGGGGGUCUGGUGGCCUUCCUCGGCAAGGAUCUUGCCGAGGGUCAUCGUCUUCUAAUCCUCAUCUGACCUUGAAUAUGUCUUCACAAAGAUCUGCAUGCCACCACAGAGGUGCCUUCCCGAGCCCUGGCCCCACGUGGAUGAUGGCGUUGGGGACCAUGGGCUCAAGGGUGGCUCGCUCUGUUGGUUGGGGUGAGCUGCCCCGGCAAGGGUCUUGCCGGGGGAACCUGCUUCGUCCCUCUGCUCUUUGUGGUCUUGGCCUUGGCGUUGCUCUGAUUGCCUUGGGCUUCGGUCUUAUCUUGGCUCACCUCCCCUGCUCUACUUGGUGCGACCGUGGGCGCGGCUCCGACUGCCCGUGCACAGGUAAAGGGGUACAAAAGCGUGCCCCUCUUUUUGUACACUGACAGGAUCCCCCGGGCCUGGGCCACACAUAAGCGCGACACGUUGUUGGGCCAGGCCCAAAACGGUGCGCGGGCAGGCGGGGCGGUUUUUACCGCGGUAAAACUCUUCGCGCGUUGCGCUUCCCACGACCCGCACGCGCGGCGCGGCGUGGAGGGGUGUGCGUGACGCGGGCGACAUGCGUGGGGCGGUUUCCACACGCAUGCAUCACAUCGCAGUAAAGAGGCGGCUCAUUUACUGAACGGGGCCGGGUCGCGGUCUUCAAGGCAUCCACUCCCCACGAUCACGGGGUGGGGAGAGGCCGCUUCACCCGUCCCCUCGGUUCUGCAUGCCCGCCAUGCGUCCCUCAUGCGCCUGGGGUGGUAAGCGGUGGAGGCGGGAAACCGGGCCGUCGCUGGUUGGGGCAGCGGGUCAAUCCCGAUUCCCUGCGCCUCUGGUGGCUGGAUUGGCCGAGCGGGGUGGCCGAGCCCUGACCCCGCCUCUUUAUAAAGAGGGGGAAGGGGGGAUGGCGUCCCGCACUCUUUCAUCAUCUAUCUUCUCUUGCUUCUACUUCUCCCUUUCACUCGCCAUGGAGAAGGGGAAUCCUGGUCCCUCGACGGUGGCGGCGAGGGUUGCCGCUCGACAGCGCGUCCCUCCUCCUCCUGAGCCUGCGGUGGUGGAACCGGCCGCGAGGGAAGGGGGAGGGGGCGAGGCCGGGGCAGAGGCCAUAGUGCUCGGGGAAGAGGAGGACGGGGUGGCGUGCCGGCCUUGCCCCCGCCAAUGAUGCCCUUCCCGAUGGAGGUCCACAUAUAAGACCAGCCUUGCGAGUUCUUCAUCAGGCUGCGCCGGCCUCCGCGUCGUCGCCUUCGUCUCCCCGCCCCGUUCGCUCGGGUGAUGGAGCGUGACCCGCCCCAGACCCUCAGGUUGCACAUGAGGGGAUGUGGGAACGCGGGCACGCGGGUCGACGUCGACUUCCCGGCUCCUCGGGUUAUGUACCUCCGCCGUGGAUGGAAGACGUUCGCUCGCAUCCAUAGCCUGACGGCGGGGCUCGUCCUCUACUUCAAAUUGAUGGAGGAUGGCCUGCUCUCCGUCAAGGUCUUUGGAGAGUUCGGGACUCGCCUGAAGUGCUGCGUGGAGAGCUCCUCUGAUGGAGAUUCCGACGAUGGAAGCUCUUCCUCGAGCGAAAGUGAUGAGGAGGACAGCGGGGCAGAUGACGGGGAUGAGUCCGACUAGGCGUCGGACGCCCCGCGCCUGGGCGGGUGCGGCAGCAGCAGCAUCUGCACCUGGCCGCUCCUUCGGCAGAGUUUUGCCGGGGGUGGGGCCAGCUCCUUGAACUUCACGGGGCCGUCUCCUUGGGCGGCUGCCGAAGAGGAGGAGGGCGGGCGGCAAGGCCGUCAACUCGGAGUACGCGAGCACCGAUGCCUUCGUCGCGUACUGCCGGUCCUGCCGCCUCGUCUUCCAGCUCCUUUCCCGGCACCGUCAUCACCGGCCUCCCCGUGGGCGGCCACCGAGGUGUUCUCUUGGUGCUUUCUGCUGCUCGUAGCUCGCCUAGGCGCCCCUUUUGUCCUCUCGCCUCCUUGACCUGCCUCCUGAGGAGAGGGACAAGAAAGGGAUCACGAGCACCUUAUCUCUUUUUUAAUCUGUAAGCCUUCGGGCCUUGUUAAAUUUAAAGCUUGUAAUCCCCUUUGUUCAUGUUUUUCAUUUGGUACGAACUGUACCUGUAUGGGAUGUUUUUAAUGAAAAAGGGAUGCUUGCCGGGUGUUUCGUUCGUGGGUAAAUCCCGCGACAAGGAGCGAAUCCUUGUUAUGGUUUAAGAUAAACGUUUUUCGCCCGGCAACAGGCCUUGCCGUCUCCCCACUCCACUCGACCAUUCUCGCGCUCUUGGCGGAGGCAGGGAUGAAGUGGGCUUUAGGCUCCUCGUUCUACCUGCUUGCCGCCGCGGCUACUACCAAAUCCGGACCCAGGAAAUAAUCCUUAUGUAUAGGAAAAAGGGGAGCACGACAGCUUAGAGAUAAAAACGAGGUUUCACAUGCCCCAGUCCUAUUCCGAAAUGCAUGACAGAGGAUAAAAGACUUAUCUGGAUCUGCAGCCCCCCGGCAAUCUCAUCUUGCCGCGGUCGGAUCCUUGUGCUUGCAGCCCCCGGCAACUCUGGCUUGCCGGGGUCGGGACGCCGGUCCGUUUUCUUUCUUCCAAGUAGCUCGGCAGAAGUGCUCAUGUGCCCUGCGAAUCAAAAGAGGAUAGAAGAGAAACAGAUAGACACGCACUCGACCUCUAAGCUAGGGGUUAGCCGCUGUUGAGCACUAUCAACCCUAACCAAGGAAGAGACUCGACCUAGCAUGCAUGCUAUGACUUAUGGCGCCAGCGCUUCGUUUGUUUAUGCUCAGGGUCUGCGCCUGGCUUUGUACAAAGGGUCACAUGCCUUGCCGGCAAAGCUUGUACAAAAGGUGGCUUGCCUGGAGGCCCGUCAAGCCGCGCCUUACGGGUAAAACUUGCGAAGAUGCUCGAUGUUCCAGGAGUUGCUCACUGGGACAGCAUCUUUGGUCUCCAGGCGGACUGUGCCGGGCCUGGUGACUCGCAUUACCCGGUAAGGGCCUUCCCACUUCGGCGUCAACUUGUUGGAAUUCUUGGCUGACUGAACGCGCCAAAGAACAAGGUCGCCUUCCUCAAAGCUUCGGGCAUGAACCUUGCGGCUAUGGUAGCGGUGCAAGGCUUGCUGGUAGCGUGCCGCUCUCACAGCCGCCCGAAGACGAUCUUCCUCGAGGAGCGCCGCGUCAUCUUGGCGCAACGGCUCUUGCUCAAGCUCAUCAUAAGCGAGCACUCGAGGCGACCCGUAUAUGAGUUCCGUGGGGAGAACUGCUUCCGCCCCGUAUACCAGGGCAAAAGGUGUCUGGCCGGUGGCUCGAUUUGGCGUCGUCCUGAUCGACCAAAGAACCGCCGGCAACUCAUCAAUCCAGCGCCUUCCACUCUUGUGCAGCUUGUCAAAGGUCUUCGUUCUCAGGCCUCGCAACACUUCAGCAUUUGCCCUCUCCGCUUGGACGUUGCUCCGUGGGUGUGCCACGGAAGCAAAACAGACCUUGCUACCGAGGUCUUGAAUGUACUGCAUGAAGGUGUGGCUUGUGAACUGCGUGCCGUUGUCGGUGAUGACUCUGUUUGGCACACCAAAACGGCAGACCAGUCCCUUGAAGAACUUGACGGCUGACUGAGCAGUCACCUUUCUCACUGCUUCCACUUCCGGCCACUUUGUGAACUUGUCGAUUGCAACAUACAAGUACUCAAAGCCCCCGACAGCGCGGGGGAAAGGGCCCAGUAUAUCGAGCCCCCAGACCGAGAAUGGCCAGGAGAGAGGGACUGUUUGAAGGGCUUGAGCUGGUUGAUGAAGCUUCUUUGAAUGGAACUGGCACGCUUCACACUUGGUUACUAGUGCAGUCGCAUCCUGGAGAGCGGUGGGCCAGAAGAAACCUUGCCGGAACGCCUUCCCGGAAGGGCCCUUGACCCUAUGUGGGAGCCACAUAUGCCUCCAUGUAUCUCCGCCAACAGCUCCAAUCCUUCUUCCCGAGGGAUGCACUUCAAUUUCACACCGUUUGGCCUUCUCCUGUACAGGACAUCAUCGACGAACUGGUACAGGGCGGACCGACGGGCUACUUUUUCCGCUUCUUCCUGCUCCUCAGAAAGCUCCCUUGUUUGGAGGAAUUGGACGGUAUGCUGUGCCCAUGCCGGAGCCUGGGGCUCGACGGCAAGGGCUAAAGGCAUUUCUUCCGCCAUGGGAGCGGCUGUCUCUACGGCCAGGGUUUGACGCCCUGCCGGAGCUAGUUGCUCUUGGGCAGGCUCAGCAUCCGCGGCACCACCCUUGCCGGCAGCCCCAGGGGGCUCAAUAGGAAAGUACUUUCCGGGACCUGACUUCCUUCGCUUGUUCUGCCCCGCUGAUGGUUCGACGGAUGGUUGAGUUAGCCGGAGCAAAAAGGUACCCGGUUCCACAGGUAGCUUGAAUGCGGCAUGCUUUGACAGGUAAUCGGCGGUGUCGUUCUCCGCUCGGGGGAUGUGCUCCGCUUGGAUACCGUCAAAGCAUUCCUCCAGCUUCCUCACCUCAUCUACGUAAGCUUCCAUCAAUGGGCUAUGAUAAUCCUUGUUGACCUGUCCGACAACGAGCUGCGAGUCACCCCUGACAAUGAGCUUCUUAACCCCGAGGUCUGCCGCAAUCCUGAGACCGGCAAGCAAUCCCUCGUACUCAGCAGUGUUGUUGGUGGACAUCUCCCUGGGGAAGUGCAUCUGGAUCACGUACUGGAGGUGCUCUCCGGUGGGUGCGAUGAGCAGCACACCGGCACCGGCGCCUUGCAGCGAGAAAGCCCCAUCAAAGUACAUGAUCCAGUCGCGGUCUGCUUCCUUGCCGGGGAGAGUGGUCUCCUGGAUUUCUUCGUCAGGCGUCGAGGUCCAUUCUGCAAUGAACUCCGCCAAGACUCUGCUCUGGAUUGUCGAGGUACUUUCAAACUUUAAACCAAAUCUUGACAACUCCAAGGCCAAUUCCACAAUCCUUCCAGUCGCAUCUGGGUUGUGCAGUAUCCGUUGCAAUGGGAGGCGGGUGACGGCAGUGAUUUCGUGGGCUUGGAAGUAAUGACGCAGCUUCCUCGAGGCCAUAAGGAGGCCGAAGAGCAAUUUCUGCACACCGGAGUACCUCGAUCUAGCUCCCUGCAAGAGGGAGCUGACAAAGUAAACCGGGUGCUGCAUCAUCUUCUUCUUCUGCACCACCUCACUCGACUGCGCAGGCACCGCCUCGGUGGCAUCAGACUCUGCCGGGGGCCUCGCCUCGCCGGCACCAGGCCCUGCCGAGGGAAUCUUGGGCUUGCCACCCGCUAGUUCUGCCGCCGUCACUGCCUCCUCAUUGACUCUUCAUCCUCUCUUGUCAUGAAGAUCUGGCGGUAGCCUGAGUAGGCGUCGAGGAAUGAUAACAUAUCACACCCGGCUGUGGAGUCAACAAUCUGGUCGAUGUGCGGCAACGGGAAGGGGUCUUUAGGACAAGCCUUAUUGAUAUCUGUGCAAUCAAUACAUAGUCUCCACUUCUCAUUCGCCUUGCGCACCACUACCGGAUUGGCCAACCACGUCGGGUGGAGCACUCCUCUCACCAAACCUGCCGCUUCCAACUUCCUGAUCUCCUCUGUGAUGAACUCCUACCUCUCCAGAGCCUACUUUCUGACCUUCUGCUUGACGGGCCGCGCGUGGGGGCAGACAGCUAGGUGGUGCUCAAUCACCUCCCUGGGAACGCCGGGGAUGUCGGAUGCUUUCCAUGCAAACACGUCGACAUUCGCCCGCAGGAAGGUGACGAGCGCGCCUUCCUAUUUGCUGUCGAGGGCGGAGCCUAUGGUGAAGGCCCCUCCCAUGCCAUCCUCCCCGACGGGCAGCUUCUUGGUCUGCGGUGGCUCGGCACUGGAUCUCUUGCCCUUGUCGGUAGAGCUCUCUGGCACGUCCUCGACGGUAGCACAACACUCCGAGGAGGUGCGCUUGCCGGAGUGGGUGCGAGAGGUCUUGCCGGGCUUCUUCUUCCCUCCCGGGCCUUCAGCGGCAGGAGCAGGUGCUUUGACGGCAGCUACUGCAACUGCUUCCCGGUAGAGUUGGUCGGCGCAAAUCAGCGCGUCCUUCUUGUCGGAGGGGACGGAGAUGAUGGUCAACGGUCCGGACAUCUUUAGCAUGUUGUAGGCGUAGUGUGACGCCGCCAUGAACUUGGCUAGUGCCGGGCGGCCGAGGAUCCCGUUGUAGGGCAAGCGGAUCUCGGCCACGUCGAAGACGAUCCUCUCCGUUCUGUAGUUCAACUCUCCUCCAAAUGUCACGGGCAGUGUGACCUUUCCCUUCGGCUGGCUCCUCCCCGGAUUGACCCCUUGAAACGUGCCCGUUUCCUCGAGGUCUCCAUCAGGGAUUUGCAACUUUUUGAUCACGACAGGCGAGAUCGGGUUCAGGUCGGCCCCGCCGUCAACCAACAUCUUGUUCACCCGGAGGUUGCGUAUCGUUGGUGAGACCAACAAUGGCAAACAUCCGACCGCGGUAGUGCGGUCAGGGUGGCCCUCGACGUCAAAGAUGAGGGGCGUGCUGGACCACUUCAGCGGCUUCUAAGCGUCGAACGAUGGCUCUGCUGCUGUAAUCUCACGCGCCCACUGCUUGAGCUGGCGGUGAGAGGUAUGCAGCGAGGCGCCGCCAUCGACACACAUGGCCUCCGUAGCCUUCUGGAACCCUUGCUCACCAGAAUCAUCGUCCUCGUCGUGAUCAUCGUCUUCUUGUUUCUUGUCGCGGCCCCGGGCGGGCCUCUCUCGCUGGUUGUCCUUGCCGGGGCGGCCUCCUUGGCCGCCACGCUUCUUGCUGGAUCCCUCGGCACCGUCCUGGUCCUUCCCCUUGUCCUGCCUCUCGUACUCAGCCUUUUGCUUCUCAGCAAGCAGCUCGACUUGUCGGCAGUUCUGGAGGUCGUGGCCCUUGGUGCGAUGGAUCUUGCAGUAUUGCUUGCCAGAGCUUCCUGGCUUGUCGGUAGCCGCCAAGGCCCGGCAGGCGACGCACCCGACAAUCUCCUUGCUGGGGGCGUCUGCCUUGACCUUCUUGCCGGCACCGGUGUCGUCAGAUCCCUCAACGGCAAGCACGGCCUUGCCUUUGCGUUUCCUAUUGCGACGCCGACCCUUCUUCGUCAUGGUAGCGGCAUCUUCAUCGGUAGAGUCGGUUUCCGCGCCGGCGUCUUCGCCGGGGUACUUCCUUCCUUCUUCAGCCCGGACGCACCUGUUGGCCUGAACGUAAAGCUCGGCCACAUCGCCAGCUCUUCACGCAUCUUGCGGUUGCGCACGUUCUGGUGGAACGCGCUGAUCACAGCGGCAGGAUGAACGUCGGGGAUGUUGUACUGCACCCGGCUGAAUCUCUGGAUGUACUUGCAUAGGGAAACCCCUUCCUUCUGGGGGGUGAUAUGCAGAUCACUGGCCUGGCCGUGAGCUUGGUGGCCUCCCGUGAAGGCGCCAACAAACUCAUGGCACAGAUCCGACCAUGAAGAAAUGGAAUCCACAGGCAAGUGCAUCAACCAAGACAUCACAUUGGGCUUCAGCGCCAGCGGGAAAUAGUUGGCAAGCACCUUGUCGUCACGAGCUCCAGCAGCCUGCAUCGUGAUGGUAUAGAUGCUGAGGAACUCGGACGAAUGGGUCUUGCCAGUGUACUUGUAACGCCCCAAGACCG